rnacentral:rRNA from 1 species
CUCCUACGGGAGGCAGCAGUGGGGAAUAUUGCACAAUGGGCGGAAGCCUGACGCAGCGACGCCGCGUGAGGGAUGACGGCCUUCGGGUUGUAAACCUCUUUCAGCAGGGACGAAGCGGAAGUGACGGUACCUGCAGAAGAAGCACCGGCCAACUACGUGCCAGCAGCCGCGGUAAGACGUAGG